rnacentral:rRNA from 1 species
UACGUAGGUGACAAGCGUUGUCCGGAUUUACUGGGCGUAAAGAGCGCGCAGGCGGUCGUUCAAGUCGAGUGUGAAAGCCCCCGGCUCAACCGGGGAACGGGCCUCGAUACGGGUCGCCUCGAGGCGAGGAGGGGGACCUGGAACUUCCGGUGGAGCGGUGAAAUGCGUUGAGAUCGGAAGGAACGCCGACGGCGAAAGCAAGGUCCUGGACUCGUCCUGACGCUGAGGCGCGAAAGCCAAGGGAGCGAACGGG